rnacentral:tRNA from 1 species
GGCAGUGUAGCGUAGUGGUAAGGAGCAGGGCUCAUAAUCUAAUGGUUGCUGGUUCAAUUCCAUCCAGGGGCA